UUAAAGAGCCGCGGUAUUUUGACCGUGCGAAGGUAGCAUAAUAAUUAGUCUCCUAAUUAGAGGCUUGUAUGAAUGGUCGGACAAGAUGGAAACUGUCUCAAUACAAUAAAUAAAAUUUAAUAUUUAAGUAAAAAAGCUUAAAUAAUAUGGAGGGACGAUAAGACCCUAUAAAGCUUUAUGAUAUUCUUCUUUUUUAUAAAUUGUCUUGUUAUUAACUUAUUUUAGAAUUAAUAUCAUUUUACUGGGGCGGUAAAAGUAUAAAAAGAUUAACUGCUUUUGUUUUGUAUAACAAUCUUAGUUGGAAAUAAAUUGAUCCAUUAUUAAUGAUCAUAAGAACAAGUUACUUUAGGGAUAACAGCGUAAUUUUUUUUGAGAGUUCUUAUCGAAAAAAAAGUUUGCGACCUCGAUGUUGAAUUAAGGUUACCUUAAGGUGCAGCAGUU
rnacentral:rRNA from 1 species